ensembl:lncRNA
UGUGUUUAGAUGUAUUCAGUUUGUAUGAGAGGAGGUAGUUACAAGUUAGAAAGCAAACAAAAGUUUUUUAGAUUCCAAACCCUGAAAUUUAAGUGGAUGAAUUUGUUACAAGGAAAAAAAAUAAAAGUCUUACUCAACUAUUUCUGUUUCCUAAUGACAAACUUUAUAUCAUAUUUGAAAGUAAGCCUAUCUUUGGAAAAAUGAGUACAAGUCUCCACUAAGAAACAAACUAAAUGUAAAAGAAAACAAAGGGAAACUGGAGUGAAGCUGGAACAGUAGCAGUGGAGUAAGCUACUCUAUGGAGAUGAUGAAACAACUGCUCUGGACUCUAUAGCAGGACCAGCUGCUGUCUCAUAUAGGCAGUCCCCAUAGCACAGCCAGCUGAUGGCACUGAAUGGUAGGAAGAGGAGAAUCCUGUGGCAAAAGUAUCUAACCUCCAUGGACCAGAGAGAGCAAUUACAGGGAUGAGUUUAAGAACAGUCCUAUGCAACACUAUGUUUGGCACAGUACUGCACAAGCAAGGUCCCGAAAACAGCAGCACUAUCUAACUCGUUCCCAGCCUUGCAUGCAAGAACCUCAGAGUGAGUGACCAUCUGCAAACUACCAUGCAUUCCGUGAUGAGGGGAGAGAAGCAAGUCUGCGUAGUUCUACAGCAGUUCUCCCUCUACCAGAUGCAUCCUAAACCCUUUGGUAAAUUCAUCCCAGGUGGCUGCUCGGCACUCUGCCCAGCAGUUAAGAAAUUAUUUGAGAUAUGCUGUUUUCUGAUGCUUCCCUCUUUAUGAUUGCUUAAUUGGGAGAUUGCAUUAAUUUGAUUUUAUCAAGGUAAGGUAUGUGUAAAAAAUUAAAUUCUCCCCCCUCAAAAACAAUCGAAUCAAUUAAUUCACAAUAACACUCUUUUUAUUUUGCCUUUAUCCCAGAUAUUUCCCUUUGUUCUAUUCUAAACUGUUUUCUCCCUGUUUUCUUGGUGUAUAAUCUUGAAACUAUUAGUGUAUCUUUACACGGUUGCCUGGCUUUUGCUGAGGCAGUUUUUUCUCUUUUUUUUUGCUUUAUGUAAAACUUGUAUAACAAUGACAAAACCAACAAUUAUUAAGGAUACCUCAUUCUGCUGAUAUGAUAUUCUUAAGACCACUCCCACUCAUUUUAGUUUUCCAUACCUUAAAACAGCAGGGGGGCCUGACUCUAUCUUCUGUGCUGGUUUUCUCAUUU